rnacentral:lncRNA from 1 species
GGUUAAUAUUCUCUUUUUUUUUUAGGUACAAUCAUGUUCUGUAACUUCUUCUUUAGCGACUAACAUGUUAUUUUAGUUCAAGCCAUGUAUGGAACAAUGUUGAGUUUCUUUGAAAAUGUCUGGGCUAUGGGAUUUGGCCUUAACAGAGGACAAAGAUUUUGCCCCACCUUUUCAUUUAGUAGCUGCACCAGCAGCUGCUAAUUUGGCAUGAUACUGGCUGAUAUUCCAUGGUGGCAAUAUAUGAUGCUGCUACCUCAUUUGUAGCAGCCAACGGUUGUGAUUCAAUGCAACAUAUAAUUGUGAAUCUGAAUUGAGUAUUGACUGUUUUAAAAUAAACAUUGAAGGCAUUAUAUUCUAUUGGAUAGGCCUAUUUAUUAACCAAUGGUGAAUGAAUUGGAAAGGAGAGUACUGCACAAGAUUUAUGAUCAUGCAAUUUGAUUUAGUCUCUGCUAAUGAAAAUAGGAACGACAGUAGAAAUUUUGAUGCAUUAUAAACUCAACUUUAUUUAGUGGAUAUCAGAAAAUUACCGUCAAACUAACUUUCACAUAAUGAGUGGCCAAAUUGUAGGUUGGAUUGGGGAUGGUUUGUACUUCACCUUCAAUUGUUCCACAUUUUAGUAGUAGUAGUUUCAAAAAAGUAUGCAGUGAUUUACAUUUUGAAAUUUAUCCUUCCCUGUACUCUAUUCUCUCUCUUCCUUUUGUAAAACCAUCAAAUCCACCUGCUUUCUCUAUA